CUUUGCUUUGGUGUCAACUCAAGUCUCAACAAACCUUUGUUUCCAUGCGGUGAUUGUUUCCACCAUUCAAUUCGCUCUUUUCUCUUCCAACCCCUUCUUCUCGUUUGAUCGGAUUUUAUACAAACAUGUUGCGUGCAGCAUCAUUUUCAUCACUCUCAUUCUCCAGGUUCAGCUUCUCUCUUCAUAUCCCCUCUUUUCUUGUGCCCUAUGUUUUCCCUUUUCGCUUUCCUUCCUGUUCAUGUUCAAUGUCAAGCCUUCACUCUCAUUCUCACCUCACAUCCCCUCGCCAUGUUGAUGAAGCUGUUGAUUCCUUCACUCGCAUGCUCUCUGCGUCGCACUCCAUCCAUCGUCCAAUUUAACCAGAUUUUGGGGUCUCUUGCCAAGACGCACCAUUUCCCCACCGCCAUUUCCCUUUUUCAGCAAUUGCAAACCAGGGGAAUUGCUCCCAGCAUAGUUACUUUGAGCAUCGUAAUUAAUUGUUGUUGCGGCAUGGGUCAUAUGGCGCUUGCUUUCUCUGUAUUGACCAAGAUUUUCAGGAUGGGUUUUCAGCCUGAUAUCAUAACGUUGAAUACACUCAUUAAAGGUCUCUGUCUCUCUAGUAAGGUUGAAAAAGCACUGCAUUUUCAUGAUAGAUUGUUGGCUCAUGGAUUUCACUUCGACCAAGUCACUUAUGCAACUUUGAUUAAUGGGCUUUGUAAGACCGGACACACAGCAGCUGCUAUUCAAGUGUUGAGAAAGAUUCCACGGUAUGGGAUUGCUCCUGAUGUCGUCAUGUACAGCGCAAUUAUUGAUAGCUUGUGCAAGGUUACGCUUGUAAGUGAUGCUUUUCAUUUAUACUCUGAAAUGCUUGCUAAGGGAAUCUCUCCCGAUGUUAUCACGUACAACACGCUAACUUAUGGCUUGUGCCUUGCGGGCCAACUUAAGGAAACCAUUGAUUUACUAAAUCAUAUGAUGCUGAAAAACAUCAGUCCAGAUGUUCGUACCUAUAACACUUUGAUUGAUGGACUAUGUAAGGAGGGAAAUAUCAAAGAUGCUAAGAGUGUGUUGGCUGUGAUGACAAAAGAUGCUGUGGAGCCAACUGUGGUUACUUAUAAUUGUUUAAUGGAUGGGUAUUGCUUGGUUAACGAAUUAAACAAGGCAAAAUGUAUAUUCGACACAAUGCCCCAUAUAGGAAUGACUCCUAAUAUCCAAAGUUACAAUAUUAUUAUUAAUGGCUUGUGCAAAAGUAAAUUGAUGGAUGAUGCCUUGAAUAUCUUUGAAGAGAUGCGUCGCAAGAACUUGGUUCCGGACACGGUAACUUACAAUACUCUAAUUGAUGGCUUGAGAAAAUCAAGGAGAAUCUCUUGUGCUUCAAAGCUUCUUGUUGAGAUGCAUAGUAAAGGUCAACCUGCUGAUAUAAUCACUUACACUUCCUUGUUGGAUGGGAUGUUCAAUAUCAAACAAGUUGACGAGGCACUUAUGUUAUUUAAUCAAAUGAAAAAGAGUGGCAUUGAUCCGAAUAUAUUCACGUAUAAUAUACUUAUUCAUGGCCUAUGCAAAAAUGGCAGACUUAUAGAAGCAAAAGAGAUUUUUCAAGAUCUUUCCGUUAAAAACUAUCAUCCAAAUGUGAGGACAUACACUAUUAUGAUCAAUGGGCUUUGCAAAGAGGGCUUGUUUGAAGAAGCAUUGGCCCUGAUGUCAAAAAUGGAAGACAAUGGUUGCUUACCAAAUGCUGUGACUUUUGAAAUUGUUAUUCGUGCUUUGUUUGAAAAAGGUGAGAAUGACAUGGCGGAGAAACUUCUUCGGGAAAUGAUUGCUAGAGGCUUAUUGAAUGGAUGAAUGAAGAGAUUCUCUCGCGCUUUGGAGCUUUUUAUUGAGAUGCAUGAUAAAGGUCAACCUUCUUCUAUAUUCAUUUACAAUUUCUUGAUAGAUGCCUUGUGCAAAAACCGACAACUUGACAAGGCACUUGUGUUAUUCAGUAAAAUGGAAGAGAUUGCCAUUAACCAAAUAUACACUCAUACAACAUGCUUAUUGAUGACCUAUGCAAAAGUGGAAAACUUAAACAUGCUCAGGAGAUUUUUCAGGAUCUUCCUGUUAGAGGCUAAACGUCCAGCCAGACAUACAAUAUUGUGAUCAAUAGUCUUUCUAGAGAGGGUCUGUUUGAAGAUGCAUUGGCCCUGUUGUCAAAAAUGGAACAUGAUGGUUGCAUUCCUGAUGCUGUGACUUUUUAAACCAUUAUUUGAGCUUUGUUUGAAAAAGAUGAGAAUGUGACGGCAGAAAAACUCCUUCGUGAAAUAAUUGCUAGAGGCUUAUUGAAUAGAUAAAAGAAGAUUACAGCCUAAGCAGAAUCGAUUUAGAUUAUCCAUCUAAAGUCUAAACUUCCCGAUUUUAUCUCGUUAUCUAUUAGAAGUUCCACACAUCAAGAUGCUGUCUUUUUUAUGCUAAAGCAUGUGAUGACACUUGAUGUCAAAACUUAAGAUAUUGCGUGUGAAGAAAAGAUAGAGGACAUGGAGAAGAAGAAGAAAAUGAAAGAGGCCAUGAUUCUUGUUACUAUUGUAUUUUUGUGGCAAUAAUUAAUGAUAGGAGUCGGAGCUGCAAUUACUUUUGAUGGCUGCCAAAUAGCCAAAGAGAGUUUUAAUUUGGAUUUAUUUUGUUGAAUGCUUCUGUUGACUCAGUUGAUUCAUGGAUUUUGGUUUUGGGAGAAAGAAAGAGGCUAAAUUUUUGUGGCGAUGUGCAAUAUAUUCCACUAUUUGGAGCAUUUGGCUAGAACAGUCUUCGUACAUUUCAUGACAGAUUCACAGGAAAAGUUGUUUGUUUUAAAAUAUAUGAUUUUUUCAGAUGACUUUCCCUCAGACAUGAUGAGAGAUUGGAAGUUGCCGUUCAUUGAAGCUUCCGAACUUGUUUGUAUUUUCAAUGGUUUGGACUUUGGAGAAACUUUUUCCUCCACCCAUUUGUACUUUUCU